rnacentral:snRNA from 1 species
AGCUUUGGGCAGUGGUAGUAUUAUAGCCAAUGAUGCUUAUCUGAGGUGCGAUUAUUGCUAAUCUAACUGGCCUUCCACUCACUCAUAGUCCUAGAGUCAUAUAUAUGGAAAGUGGUGACAU